rnacentral:rRNA from 1 species
AGUGAACGCUGGCGGUAGGCCUAACACAUGCAAGUCGAACGGCAGCACAGUAAGAGCUUGCUCUUACGGGUGGCGAGUGGCGGACGGGUGAGGAAUACAUCGGAAUCUACUUUUUCGUGGGGGAUAACGUAGGGAAACUUACGCUAAUACCGCAUACGACCUACGGGUGAAAGCAGGGGAUCUUCGGACCUUGCGCGAUUGAAUGAGCCGAUGUCGGAUUAGCUAGUUGGCGGGGUAAAGGCCCACCAAGGCGACGAUCCGUAGCUGGUCUGAGAGGAUUAUCGGCCACACUGGAACUGAGACACGGUCCAGACUCCUACGGGAGGCAGCAGUGGGGAAUAUUGGACAAUGGGCGCAAGCCUGAUCCAGCCAUACCGCGUGGGUGAAGAAGGCCUUCGGGUUGUAAAGCCCUUUUGUUGGGAAAGAAAAGCAGCAGGUUAAUACCCCGCUGUUCUGACGGUACCCAAAGAAUAAGCACCGGCUAACUUCGUG